AGCGAACGUUUGCGGCGGGCCUAACACAUGCAAGUCGAACGCACUAGCAAUAGUGAGUGGCGCACGGGUGCGUAACACGUGGGUAAUCAACCCUUCAGCCUGGGAUAACGACUCGAAAGGGUCGCUAAUACCGGAUACGGCGCGAGAGGCUUCGGCUUCUCACGAGAAAGCCACGCAAGGGGCACUGAAGGACGAGCCUGCGGCCCAUCAGCUAGUUGGUGAGGUAAGAGCUCACCAAGGCUAAGACGGGUAGCUGGUCUGAGAGGAUGAUCAGCCACACUGGAACUGAGACACGGUCCAGACUCCUACGGGAGGCAGCAGUGGGGAAUAUUGCGCAAUGGGCGAAAGCCUGACGCAGCCACGCCGCGUGAGCGAUGAAGGCCUGGUCGUAAG
rnacentral:rRNA from 1 species